rnacentral:rRNA from 1 species
UAGUCAUAUGCUUGUCUCAAAAAUUACCCCGUGCAAGUCCCAUUACAAGCCAAAUUAAGGCAAAACCGCAAAAGGCUCAUUAAAUCAUUUAUGGUUCCUUGGAUCGUACAAUCCAUUACUUGAAUAACUGUGGUAAUUCUAAAGCUAAUACAUGCAAACAAAAUCCCAACCAAAAAUGGAAGGAACGCUUUUAUUAAAUCAAAACCAAUCGGGGCUUAUGCCCCGCACUUCUUGGUGACUCUAAAUAACUUACAGCUGAUCGCACGGUCCUCGUACCGGCAACGCAUCUUUCAAAUGUCUGACUUAUCAACUGUCGAUGGUAAAUUCUGCGCCUACCAUGGUUGUAACGGGUAACGGGAAAUCAGGGUUCGAUUCCGGAAAGGGAGCCUGAAAAACGGCUACCACAUCCAAGGAAGGCAGCAGGCGCGCAAAUUACCCACUCCCGGCACGGGGAGGUAGUGACAAAAAAUAACGAUACGGGACUCAUCCAAGGCCCCGUAAUCGGAAUGAGUACACUUUAAAUCCUUUAACAAGUACCA